GUGGCCGUGACCCUUCUGGAGUGUGGGGGGGACCUCCAGCCCCCCGGGGGGUCCCUGCGCCUCCUCUGCCGAGGGUCCGGGUUUUGUUUCCGGAGCUACGACAUGAACUGGCUGGGCCAGAGACCCGGGCAGGGGCUGGAGUGGCUCGCGUGGAUCAGGAACGAUGGUGGCGACUCCGGCUACGCGGAUUCAGUCAAGGGCCGAGUCAUGAUCUCCAGGGACAACGGGCAGAGCUCGAUGACGCUGACCAUGAACAACCUCAAGGACGAGGAUUCCGGAUCCUAUUACUGCGCCAAAUGUUACAGCAGUCUCUGUGGUUCAACUUAUAUUUAUGCUGCUCUUAUUGACAAUGCCAGUGGUGGACCGACCCCAGCCAUUGAAAACCCAAAAACAUCCCAAAAUUCCCAAACUUCUGCUGUUUGUGCCCCAGAUCUCAGUGGGGUUCACUUGUGA